GACGAACGCUGGCGGCGUGCCUAAUACAUGCAAGUAGGACGCAGUUGCGAACGGGUGAGUAACGCGUAGGUCACUGCCUAUUAGAGGGGAAUAACUAUUGGAAACGAUACCUAAUACCGCAUACUAGUAGAUGGACCUGCGUUGUAUUAGCUAGUAGGUUGGGUAAUGGCCUACCUAGGCAAAGAUACAUAGCCGACCGUGUGAGGGGCACGGCCAAACUGGGACUGGUGACACGCCCAGGCUCCUACGGGGUGCAGCAGUAGGGAAUCUUCGGCCAUGGGGGGAACCCUGACCGAGCAACGCCGGGGUAGUGGAGAAUGUUUUCGGAUCUUAAAGCUCUGUUGUUAAGGAAGCGGUACUUAACCAGAAAGCGACGGCUAACUACGUGCCAGCAGCCGCGGUAAUAC
rnacentral:rRNA from 1 species